rnacentral:tRNA from 1 species
GAGGGUAUGGCUCAGUGGUAGAGUGCAUGCCUAGCAUGCAUGAGGUCCUAGGUUCAAUCCCUCGUACUUCCA